rnacentral:tRNA from 1 species
GCGCAUGAAGUUCAACGGUUGAACGCCGGGAUAUAACCCGGAGGCAACAGGUUCGACUCCUGUCAUGUGUA